UACAGAGGGUGCGAGCGUUGUCCGGAAUCACUGGGCGUAAAGGGCGCGUAGGUGGUGGCUUAAGCGUGCGGUGAAAGCUCGGGGCUCAACCCCGAGUCGGCCGUGCGAACUGGGCUCACUGGAGCAUAGUAGAGGCAGGUGGAAUUCCGGGUGUAGCGGUGGAAUGCGUAGAGAUCCGGAAGAACACCGGUGGCGAAGGCGGGUCUCUGGGCAGUAACUGACGCUGAGGAGCGAAAGCAUGGGGAGCGAAC
rnacentral:rRNA from 1 species